rnacentral:lncRNA from 1 species
UAAUCACUGCUGUUUCAACCAUUCUGACCUGUGCCACAGUACAUGCCUGUUAGGAGUCCACUAGUUCUUACCUAGUUAAAUUAUACAGGAUGGUUUGCCACUGUAUAUUACAAUUAAUAUCAUCAAAAGAGUGUUUACAUGAAUAAACAAAACCAGAAAGGCUAGAUCUUGAAAAAUAACAUUCGGUGAAGAGCUCGAGAUCAGGAAGCUUAUGUGGCUGCAAAAGAUAAGCCUAAAGAGAGAGGCAGUACAAUCAUUUUGGUGGCAUGACGAUCAACUUCAAUUCAUCAUCAAAAGCCCCCCACUCUGAAAAGCUUCAAAGCCACAUAAUUCGAGCACUUUUUAGCAGAAGACAUGGAUGGAUAGGUGUCUUUAUGCAAAAGAAAUCAACAAUUGA